rnacentral:rRNA from 1 species
GACGGAAAGACCCCGUGAACCUUUACUAUAGCUUGACACUGAACAUUGAGCCUUGAUGUGUAGGAUAGGUGGGAGGCUUUGAAGUGUGGACGCCAGUCUGCAUGGAGCCGACCUUGAAAUACCACCCUUUAAUGUUUGAUGUUCUAACGUGGACCCGUAAUCCGGGUUGCGGACAGUGUCUGGUGGGUAGUUUGACUGGGGCGGUCUCCUCCUAAAGAGUAACGGAGGAGCACGAAGGUUGGCUAAUCCUGGUCGGACAUCAGGAGGUUAGUGCAAUGGCAUAAGCCAGCUUGACUGCGAGCGUGACGGCGCGAGCAGGUGCGAAAGCAGGUCAUAGUGAUCCGGUGGUUCUGAAUGGAAGGGCCAUCGCUCAACGGAUAAAAGGUACUCCGGGGAUAACAGGCUGAUACCGCCCAAGAGUUCAUAUCGACGGCGGUGUUUGGCACCUCGAUGUCGGCUCAUCACAUCCUGGGGCUGAAGUAGGUCCCAAGGGUAUGGCUGUUCGCCAUUUAAAGUGGUACGCGAGCUGGGUUUAGAACGUCGUGAGACAGUUCGGUCCCUAUCUGCCGUGGGCGCUGGAGAACUGAGGGGGGCUGCUCCUAGUACGAGAGGACCGGAGUGGACGCAUCACUGGUGUUCGGGUUGUCAUGCCAAUGGCACU